rnacentral:rRNA from 1 species
GAUGAACGCUAGCGGCAGGCUUAAUACAUGCAAGUCGAGGGGCAGCAUGAUUGUAGCAAUACAAUUGAUGGCGACCGGCAAACGGGUGCGGAACACGUACGCAACCUUCCAACAAGUGGGGGAUAGCCCAGAGAAAUUUGGAUUAAUACCCCGUAACAUAGCGAUGUGGCAUCACAUUGCUAUUAUAGAUUUUUCGCUUGUUGAUGGGUGUGCGGCUGAUUAGAUAGUUGGCGGGGUAACGGCCCACCAAGUCUACGAUCAGUAGCUGAUGUGAGGGCAUGAUCAGCCACACGGGCACUGAGACACGGGCCCGACUCCUACGGGAGGCAGCAGUAAGGAAUAUUGGGCAAUGGACGCAAGUCUGAUCCAGCCAUGCCGCGUGAAGGAUUAAGGUCCUCUGGAUUGUAAACUUCUUUUAUAAGGGACGAAAAAAGGCUUUUCUAAGUCGUCUGACGGUACCAUAUGAAUAAGCACCGGCUAACUCCGUGCCAGCAGCCGCAGUAACAC